AUAAUUUUUUAAAAUAACAAAUAAAAUAGAAAAAAAAAAUUUUAAAUGAGAGUGCUAAAUUACAUAAAACUACGUAGUUUUUAGGAUGGGUGAACUUAACAAACCUAAAACACUCCUCUGUUCUUCAUUGCCGCCCCUUGCUUCUUAAAGUUUCGAUCACUCCCAGACGCGACGCCCUCAGUUGAACGAGUGUCUUGCUGUCAAGCUAGCUGUUGCAUUGCUUCACGAAGCUCAUCGUUCAAAUUCUGUGUAUGUUUGGGGGUGUGGCGAUUGGAGAAUAGUGUUGUGGUGAAAAACCUUGUAGGUGAUUCCAUAGGUAUUGCAUUCCAGGCUACAAAAAUUAGGAUCUCUAGAGAAGCAUAAGG